rnacentral:rRNA from 1 species
UCGAGCGGACGGAUGGGAGCUUGCUCCCUGAAGUCAGCGGCGGACGGGUGAGUAACACGUGGGCAACCUGCCUGUAAGACUGGGAUAACUUCGGGAAACCGGAGCUAAUACCGGAUAAUGCACAGCCUCUCAUGAGGCUAUGCUGAAAGAUGGUUUCGGCUAUCACUUACAGAUGGGCCCGCGGCGCAUUAGCUAGUUGGUGAGGUAACGGCUCACCAAGGCAACGAUGCGUAGCCGACCUGAGAGGGUGAUCGGCCACACUGGGACUGAGACACGGCCCAGACUCCUACGGGAGGCAGCAGUAGGGAAUCUUCCGCAAUGGACGAAAGUCUGACGGAGCAACGCCGCGUGAGUGAUGAAGGUUUUCGGAUCGUAAAACUCUGUUGUCAGGGAAGAACAAGUGCCGGAGUAACUGCCGGCACCUUGACGGUACCUGACCAGAAAGCCACGGCUAACUACGUGCCAGCAGCCGCGGUAAUACGUAGGUGGCAAGCGUUGUCCGGAAUUAUUGGGCGUAAAGCGCGCGCAGGCGGUCUCUUAAGUCUGAUGUGAAAGCCCACGGCUCAACCGUGGAGGGUCAUUGGAAACUGGGGGACUUGAGUGCAGAAGAGGAAAGUGGAAUUCCACGUGUAGCGGUGAAAUGCGUAGAGAUGUGGAGGAACACCAGUGGCGAAGGCGACUUUCUGGUCUGUAACUGACGCUGAGGCGCGAAAGCGUGGGGAGCAAACAGGAUUAGAUACCCUGGUAGUCCACGCCGUAAACGAUGAGUGCUAAGUGUUAGAGGGUUUCCGCCCUUUAGUGCUGCAGCAAACGCAUUAAGCACUCCGCCUGGGGAGUACGGCCGCAAGGCUG